rnacentral:sRNA from 1 species
UCUCCUGGGCAGCUGCGGCGGCGGCGCUGGCACCCCGGCCCCGGCGGGCCCCGGCGGAGCGGCGGGCAAAGGUCCCAGGAAGGUGGCGUCAGCAUCUGCAGCCGCGUCGACGUUGUCGGAGCCUCCGCGGAGGACCCAGGAGAGCCGGACUAGGACCAGGGCCCUGGGCCUCCCCACACUCCCCAUGGAGAAGCCGGCGGCCUCUACAGAGCCCCAAGGGCCUCGGCCGGUCCUGGGCCGUGAGAGUGUCCAGGUGCCCGAUGACCAAGACUUUCGCAGCUUCCGGUCAGAGUGUGAGGCUGAGGUGGGCUGGAACCUGACCUAUAGCAGGGCUGGGGUGUCUGUCUGGGUGCAGGCUGUGGAGAUGGAUCGGACGCUGCACAAGAUCAAGUGCCGGAUGGAGUGCCGUGAUGUGCCAGCCGAGACACUCUACGACGUCCUACACGACAUUGAGUACCGCAAGAAAUGGGACAGCAACGUCAUUGAGACUUUUGACAUCGCCCGCUUGACAGUCAACGCUGACGUGGGCUAUUACUCCUGUGAGCAGGCGUAGCACGCUGAUCCCAGUCCCCUUGGCCU